AGGCCCAGGGUUCACCAGUUCGGAUACCUGGCGUGUACCUACACAUCACUCAGCAAGCCAUGUUGUGGCGGCGUCCCAUAUACAAAAUAUAGGAAGAUGGGCAUGGAU